GAUGAACGCUGGCGGCGUGCUUAACACAUGCAAGUCGAACGGGAAGCCUAUUAUUGAAGCUUCGGCAGAUUUAGUUUGUUUCUAGUGGCGGACGGGUGAGUAACGCGUGGGUAACCUGCCCUAUACAGGGGGAUAACAACCAGAAAUGGUUGCUAAUACCGCAUAAGCGCACAGGACCGCAUGGUCCGGUGUGAAAAACUCCGGUGGUAUAGGAUGGACCCGCGUUGGAUUAGCUAGUUGGCAGGGUAACGGCCUACCAAGGCGACGAUCCAUAGCCGGCCUGAGAGGGUGAACGGCCACAUUGGGACUGAGACACGGCCCAGACUCCUACGGGAGGCAGCAGUGGGGAAUAUUGCACAAUGGGGGAAACCCUGAUGCAGCGACGCCGCGUGAAGGAAGAAGUAUCUCGGUAUGUAAACUUCUAUCAGCAGGGAAGAUAGUGACGGUACCUGACUAAGAAGCCCUGGCUAACUACGUGCCAGCCGCCGCCGUAA
rnacentral:rRNA from 1 species